GUUCCUCCCCAUAAAAGAGUUGCUAAGGAGGCUUCCUGUAUGUGGAUUUGGGGUUGUGUUCCUCCCCAUAAAAGAGUUGCUAAGGAGGCUUCCUGUGUGUGGAUUUGGGGUUGUGUUCCUUCCCAUAAA
rnacentral:lncRNA from 1 species